rnacentral:ribozyme from 12 species
CACGAAAGAUGAGAAGAAAACAACACUUGAAGGAGAGGGCGACAAGAAAACACACAAUCUGCUUUUUUUUUUCUGAACAACGAACUUUUUCGGCAUGUUUUUUUUUUUUUUUUUUUUUUAUUUU